rnacentral:rRNA from 1 species
GCCUAGCCAUUACAAAACAAUCAAAUAACCAAUUGUUCGCCAAAUAACUACGAGUAAAAACUUAAAAUUUAAAAGACUUGACGGUACUUCACACCAACCUAGAGGAGCCUGUCUAAUAACCGAUAACCCACGAUUAACCCAACCUCCUCUAGCCUAACAGUCUAUAUACCGCCGUCGCCAGCUUACCUUGUAAAAGAAACAAAGUAAGCUCAAUAACACCACAUUAACACGACAGGUCGAGGUGUAACUAAUGAGGGGGCCGAGAUGGGCUACAUUUUCCCAACAGAAAAUACGAAUACACUAUGAAACUAGAAACUGAAGGCGGAUUUAGCAGUAAGAUAAGAAUAAAAUACUUACCCGAAAUUAACGCAAUGAAGUGCGCACACACCGCCCGUCAUCCCUGUAAAACCAUAUAAAAAAUCUAUAAUAUACCACCACCUUUUAAAGCAGGGCAAGUCGUAACAUGGUAAGCGUACUGGAAAGUGCGCUUAGAGA